CCUACGGGAGGCAGCAGUGAGGAAUAUUGGUCAAUGGUCGGGAGACUGAACCAGCCAAGCCGCGUGAGGUAUGAAGGUACAGAGUAUCGUAAACCUCUUUUGUCAGGGAACAAAGGCGGGGACGCGUCCCCGGAUGAGUGUACCUGAAGAAAAAGCAUCGGCUAACUCCGUGCCAGCAGCCGCGGUAAUACGGAGGAUGCGAGCGUUAUCUGGAUUUAUUGGGUUAAAGGGGUGCACAGGCGGUCUGUUAAGUCAGAGUUCAAAGCCCGGGGCGCAACCCCGGCCCGCCGUUGAAACUGGCAGUCUCGAGUUGGAGAGAAGUAUGCGGAAUGCGCGGUGUAGCGGUGAAAGGCAUAGAUAUCGCGCAGAACUCCGAUUGCGAAGGCAGCAUGCCGGCUCCACACUGACGCUGAGGCACGAAAGCGUGGGUAUCGAACAGGAUUAGAUACCCGUGUAGUC
rnacentral:rRNA from 1 species